UGAGCAUGCCAAAGGGUAAUGAAACUAUGACUCAGCUGUGCCUGAGCUGCUGGGGCAGUGGAACAGCUCCUGCUGGAUCUAAAAGAUAACCCAAAGGCUAUUAGAAUCUGUAGGCUUUGUCCUGAGGAGCUGUUUGAUGUGCAGUAUGAGCAGCACGAGGGGAGCUCUGUGCAGUGUUCCCUUAUGCCAGCCAGAGCACCAAGCUUUCCCAGGUGGUCUGCUGGGCUGGAAGGCAGCUGCUGGGCUGCAUGCAAUAAACAGUCCUUUGCUGGAUAUGAAAUUCCAGAACAACUCAGAGGCAUAGCCUGUGCGAGCUGUUCCAUACCUCGUAAUGGCAUGAGGGCACGGGUGACUCAUACUGCAGAUUUUGUGCCAAAGGACUUGGCCAGCAAGCAUCGUCUCAGCACUAAUUGCAGCAAGGAAACCAGUGUUAAUGAUGGUCACAAAGACAAAUGAAAGGCAGCUGAGCCACGGCGUUCCCUUGGGCAGAUGCUGAGCCUGGAAUCAGACGAUAAAGGUGGAACAAGUUUUACAACUCCUCAUCAGCUAGCAUCAAAUCCUGUCGUUAGGGCAGCUGCUCUGUGAGGUGACUGUUGAGCACACAACAGCUUUUUAUCAUUCCUUAUCUUUGUGCAAUGUUUCAGGUUGCUCUGAUCCACCCCAUGCUUCUCCCUCACUGAAGCAGACCAAGUGUUUCACUGAAUGGUGCAGUUCAGAUUUUCCAGGUUAUAGUCUCCAGCUCUCCCCUGAACCUGAGACCACUGACUGUGAGGACCUUUAAACUGCAGAAGUCUAUACGAGGGGAAAUGAGUGUGCAGUUGUGUGCAGUGAGGUCCCUGUGGAAAAACGAAUCCUCAACCAGAAGAGGAAAGUCCUCUGGACAGACCUUGACUCUGUCAUGAGGCCCAUGUACUCCUAAGGUGUUGGUAAAUGGAUCUUGGGUUACACGAAAGUAGGAAAAACAGAGAAAAGCAUGAGUUCCCUUGGGGUCUGGCUGGUCUAAGGCUGUCCAGACUUUGUGUCAGUGUGCAGACUGUUGGAGUAGAAAAUGCAACUGCUGCUACUGAGCAUUUUCUUUUGUCACCUGUAGGGCCUCGUGAUUUAUUUGUUUGUUGGCAAACACCAGCAAACACCGAUGACUGAGUUGUUUUCCAGUAAUUCCUGCCCUGUGACUUCAGGUUCUUUUACCCUGUUCUUAGCUCCUUUUUCACCCAUGCAGAAAACAGUGACAGCUUAAAAAACUCCGUUUCUCUUUCUUCCUUUCAGCAACGUUUUAUUUUUUGUGCUUUGUCACGAAGUGCUUUGAGGGCAGUCCAUGGGGAUCUAGAUCUUGUUGCAGAGGCCCAGAGGAGGGACGGGGAUAUGGUGGUACAGAUUAAGAAUUUAUUUGGGUAAAGGAAAGAAGCAGAAAUGAGGAAGCUCAAGCAGGGUGAAGCGCUCCCUGAGGGAGACAGUGUGCCAGUGGCACAGGUUACCCCUGCUCCAGCCCAGCAGUCUCUCUCUCCAGCUGCAGUCUCCCUGGGCUUUGGGUGCCCUCCCUCUCCUGCACAAAGAGCAGAGCUGAGGGAGCACGGCCAGGUUUCCCUGCAGCUGCAGACCACGUACUGAGGGCUGUGAGAGCUCAUCCAGGUGCACCUAUCACCUCAGAUUUGCUCUAGAAAGGCUGAGCAGCUGGGCCUGCUCCCACUUAUCUCCUGGCUUAUAUGCUUGGAUGUUAAUUCAAAUACCUACAGGAGCGCAUUUUGCAGCUGCUGGUCACCAGCUAUUAUCUGCCCUCCAGCAGCAAUAACGUAUUAAGACAGAAAGUUUUGUGCAGUAAGUGCACAAAUGCAGGUAGCUGUUCUGCACUGGGGCAAUAAGCAGCACAUACCCAUAGCAGCCCUGCUGAUAAGCUCAGGUGAAGCAAGCUACAAGCCAGCAGCAACUUGCCUUUUCCCACCACUUGGCAUCAUGUUCAUCUGCCACAUGUGCAGGGUCACACAGAACAUGCCCUGUGCUUAGAUCUGCCUGAGAAAGAGGGACUUGAGAAAUGUUUGGAAAAAUCAAUAGACUUUAGAUGGGGGCGUGAGGCGCCUUUUGCACUGAGCGCUUUUGACAUCUUGUUCCUCUUUAUCUAGUGGCAUGAAGUGUGCAAAAGGAAAGUAACUUGCAGAGAAUGUUCCUGUGCCUUGCUGCAGUCCAGAGCAUAGGCAAUGCCAUAGGUACAGCAGCUCCUUACAGCCGUCGUGGUUACAAAGGUAACUCUUCAGUCGGUGCAGUCUUCAGUAUUCCCAUUGAUGUAGAUCAAUUGUAAUAGCUGUUGCUCUCCAUUCAGUUCAGGAGGACAAAGCUGUGAUAUUUCUGUUCACAUUUUAAAUUAUUAUCUCUCAAUUGUGGUAGAUGUGGAAAGAAUGAAUUAUAUUUACGUGUAACAGAGGCCACAGCUGAUAAGCAGUUUUCUUUCAUUAAAUUAAUGUUUCCAUAGCCUAGGAUGUCACUAAAGAUGGUAAGCUUUAGUCUUCUCCAUGAGAUGAAAUCAGGGCCUGUUUACCCUUCAGAGACUUAAAUUUUUUUUACAAUAUCCUUCCAAGCACAGGUUUUUCAUUAUUGCCAGUAAAGCUACAGAAAUGAUGCUUUAUUACCUAGAACACUUCAUGCAGAAAAUUACUUUUCUGGCUCAGCUGAGAGAGCUGCCAUUUGCCUUCCCUGUGUUCUUGAGCAUGCCUAUUUUAAGGGGCUGAGAACUAAAAUGCCCUGCUAUCUGCUGACUUGAAUAUAAUGUUGACCUGAGUUGCUUAUAACUCGACUUAACCAGUUUCCUGCUUCCAACAGUGGCUAAAGACAGAUGAACAAAAACAGCUUAAGAAAUGAAAGAUCACACUGCAGAUCUUUCUCAACUUCUGGCAAUAAAAGCCACCUUGUAUCUGGACCAUCCUAUGUAAUAGCUGAUGGUUAAUCUGCCUCCACUAUCUUGACCAGUCCCUUUCUGAACAGCUUUAUAGUAUAUUGGUCUCAGAUGUCCUCAUGGUAGCUGAAUUUCCUGUAUUAUGGUGCCUCUCAAGGAGGCAGUGACAUCUACACAUCCUCCACAGCAGCUUUCUACAAACAAGACUGUCUGUCCCAGGUUGAGCCUCCCUUCCAAUUUACUUUGAUGGUAAAUGUGCCUCUUUACAAAAGAAGGCACACACACACACACACAUAUAUAUAUAUAUACACGUAUAUAAUAUACGUAUAUAUACAUAUAUAUAUAAACUAUGCCCUCUACUGGUUUUGUUUACAGCUCAACAUGAGUCACCUCUUCAUUUGGGUUGUUCAAUUGCUGAGUACUGAAAAUCUGGUUAACUUAAUUUCCUCCACCUAAGACCAUACAGAUCAUAUAUGAUGAUCUAUAAAGAAAAGUAGUGUAAUUCAGUAGACUGUACCUUAAACAUAAUGGAAUGACAGAAGCAGAAAACCAGAUUUUGGAUUACUAGGAGCCAUUUUUCUGGUCAGCAGCAGCACUUGAGCAAAACAGCAUCAGUUGCCCCAUCCUGCAACCACCUCAGCUUGUGAAGAGGACUGCAUUUGUUUCAAAUACAAGCCUUGCCUUUUGACCCCAGUAAAGGGUGGAACAUGAAGUCUGGAUUUCUCCGGGCAGAGCUGUCUGUAGUUACUGUCUUCACUUUUCUGCCUCUAUAAGUCCUCUUUCAUUUAAAAAUAAAUUCAAAUGGCAAAUGAAAUACAUUGCAUAUUUGCAAAGGAGCCUUCUGUGCUUCUGCCCGCUGUGUUUGCUAUUUUCAAACACCCCCCCCCCGGGGUUCUUGAUUACUUUGGGAACCUUGUGACCUAAUGAAUGAAACAGCCAUAAACAAAGCCAGUCUUAUUUCAUCAUAAUAGGCAUUUUGCCAGGGAACAUCAGGGCUGACUGGCUCAGCUCUGCUGUCAAAUAAGAGGCAUGGAGAGAAGGAAAGCUCAUGGCCUAUGCUCAUCUUUCUCCUCCACAGCAUGGCACCUCCAGCUGUUCCCCACUGGGCUCUGCAGCACAGAAGCUGUGACUGCAAACCAGCAGGACCAGAGCAACAGGCAGGCUCGUGGGGAAGAACAAGGAGCAAACUAAUGGGGCUCCAGCAAUCCGCUCACAUUGCCUUCUUCCAGAGCUCAGCCUCUGUCCUCCACUUGGGGGAUGGAAGAGAGAAAAAAGAAAAAAAAAAAGAAAAAAAAGAAAGAAAAGAAAAAAAAAGAAAAAAAGAAAAAAAAAAGAAAGAAAAAAAGAAAGAAAAAGAAAGAAAAGAAAAAAAAAGAAAAAAGAAGCAACCCACUUUACAGGUGUUUGAGGUAGCUGCUGUAGCUCUUUCUUAUAAAGUUGGCUUUCAAAGGAAUAAGUGCUUCCAGCUGGAUCUUGUUUUUUGGCUAAUCUCUGCAACAGGAAAGAAGACUGAAGUGAGAGCAACAGAUAUCUCUUCUGCUGCUGAGCCUGAAUUUCAGGUUUCCAUGUUUGAUCAAGUCAGUGUCUGCAGAGGAGGGAAAGCCUGGACCCAAUCUGCAGCUUUCCCAGGUGCAUGCAUGAGUGUGACACAUUCUUCAGUUAAUCUUUCAGACUAGGAUAGAGCAUGAUAAACUCCUGAGAAGUCAUGACAUAGCCACAUAUCUUAGUCUGGUGAAUUUGAUGAGGCACCAUUUGCAAAGCUUUGAGAUAUGUGACUUAUGGUCAUUCUGAUUCUGUUCAGGAGGGAUAUUUCUGUCCCAAAAUAGCUUUCCUUGCCCAAAUAAAAAAUAUUUUACUUACAGUCAGUUUCUUCUAAGAAGUUAAUACUUCUGGGUGGAAAAACACCAACUUCCCUGAGGACUGCAGACUGAUACAAUACACAGAGCAAGCAGGACUACCCUGAAAGGGAUAUAAGACAAAAAGAUAAAGUAUACAUCUGCAGCAUGGCUUUAUGAUUUUUGUCAUUAGUAUUUCACAUCACAACAUCAUGUAAUGCACUGGGAGUUAAUGUUAAGCUAAUGCUCCAGUUCUGUGGAUUGUUGAUAUUUCCAGGUACCUGGUCUCAGAGGAGAAGAACUACAUCUCCCAGAAGAUGUUCACUGUUCCCUUUCUGUUACAUUUUAAAAUCAGAGAGAUACAUUUUAAAACUAAGAUUCCUUUAGUUGUUUUGCUAUUACGUUGUGCAUUGCCAACUUGCAGAAGCAAGGACAGACAGUCCCUGCCUCUGCUCUAAGGGACUGAUACAUCAAACUUGGAAAUGUUGGGGCUCUUCAACAAUUAUGAGAAAGGCUAAGGAAGAUGGACUUAAAGAUAGGUGGUACAUGAAAAAGUAAGGUGGAGAUGGAUCCAGAAGUACAUCUGGGGUAGGAUUUCUUCUCUUUUUCCAAAUACUGGUUCAGGUUUCAGUCACUUGCAGUUCAAUUUCCUUGGAAGACUAUAACAGCAAAAUAGCUGAUGGUAUAAUUACUGCAGUAAAGAGAAGCAGGAAAUUAAAAUGAACUCCACCCAUACCAACGCAGAGAUUAACAGAGAGAAGCAUACAGCAAGCUACAAGACUAUGAAAAACAAGACUUUUCAAAGGCAACUGAAACCUGACAAGAAUAUCGAUGGCUCCUUUUUUUACCUCAUGCACUUGAAUGUUUCUGAUCUUGUAAAUGUAAUGAGAGAAUAAAAAAUGCCUGGGAUUUUCUACUUAUUAGAUUUGCAAGCAAAUAAACUACAUAUUUUCCUGAAGCAUCUUCACUUUAAAGGUGUCCAAAGGGUAAUGUGUGCAGGCUGUUUAUUAUAAAGUGUUAACUUUGAAAAUAUUCUAGGAACAAAAUCUGGCUUAAGACUCUCAAAAUACUGCAGUUCCCAAGUAAGUAUGGGAAUCAUGUGGCUAGCCUGAGCCCUAUCUUUUGCUGCUCAAUCCUGUCACAAACAGUAUGCUACCACUGAGAAUACAGCACUAUCUGCCAAAGAUGUAGCAUUACCAGCGGCAUGGUCUGUUCCUCCCAUGACACUAUGGAAAAGAAAAAGCCCUUCACAACACAGCAUGGUCUUGUAAAGACUAUAGUACUGCUAUUCUAGGCCUUCUGGAAAUGCUUUUAAAAAAUGUGUAUUAUUUAUCUUGUUCUUAAGCAUGUCCUUGUCAUCUGUGGUAUGAAAAGUGUGGUAUUUGCUGUGGUAUCUUUGUGUUAUAUCUGAGAAAUCAAGAGCAUUAAUACUUAAGGUACAGGAAACAGUGGUAUCUUUGAUGCUACUAUGUGGUAACUUGUCAGAUGUGAAUAGAGAUGCAUAAGAACUGGACACAAAAUUAUGAGGAAAUCAUGUUAAAUGUAUCAGUCACCAUCCUUUACGAUUAUCAGCGCACUCACAGAACUCCAGAAGUGUUCUAAUACACGAAUAGAGGCCCUAGAUAUGCUCUGUCAUACAGCCUGAAAGGCAGGAGUCACCAGCGUCACAACAACGAUGAAGGAGCUUUUGCACUACUACUGCCAUAGCUAAGAUGAGCAAAUGUGCCCUUGCUAGAGACUGGCUCACUCAAGCACCUUGUUCCUGGAUGGUUUUGGGUCUGCAUUCUGCUAUGAAGGCCCUGGCUCUACAAUGAUACAGAGCCCUCUCACAAUAUAGCAUCUCUACAGCUAUUUGAAUCAGAAAACAGUGAAAAAUUGUUGCCUUGAUUUAAAAUAAGAACUUGUUGUAUAGAUGGCUUUUUCCACUGUUCUCAGCAAGGUGAUUUAAGGCUCUGUCUGAGCUGAGGGCUGUGUGCUGAAUUCCCGACUGAAUCAGUGAAACAUCUACUUCAACAUGUUUUAGCUCCAUUCUUUGUGAACCCAAAACUGAAAGCUUUUUUAGAAGAUAGGUUCCAAGUUGAAUUGGUCUGUUCACUUCCCCUCCCACCACUCUGACGGAAACUUGCAUUUGUGGCCUUCAGCAACCACGUUUGCUCUCUCAUUAACCUUCUGCUCCCACUGCCUGACCUUCUGACAGAUUUACAGAUCUGCCUGGAAAGAGAUGCAAGGCUGAUUCCUGAAGGAUUGCUCAUCUGGACAAGCUCUCAUUCAGGCCCCCAGAUAUUUGCUCCGCUCUGAGGCUGUGACUUGUCUUUCUGUUUAGACUACUGUAAGACUUGUCUGGGCUCAUCUUGAGCGAGCCACCUUGCAGACUGCAAGCAGUAGAGCUCAGCUGGGUGGAUCCUGUGACCAUUACUGGAGUUCCCUUCAAGUAAUUUGCAUUCUAGUUAGUAGCUCUCAUCAUCUUUCUUCCAAAACCUGUCAAAUUUUAGAGGGAACUGCAGCGAGUAGAACCUGCAGUUUCUUUACAUGAUUAUUUUUACUGUGAGAACAAAAGAAAUAAUAGAACUUUACACUACAAGUAUAGCCUUUGGAAAAAGAACAUUAAGGCUUAGAUACAUAUUGCCUUGAGAAAAUAAUACUGGGUGUGAUGUGUGUUUACUGGUUAUUAUUUGAUAUGCCCUAACUUCAGCUUCUGGCCUUUCACUCUGUAGAUGUAUUGACGCUCAGUGCUUUGUGACUCAGCCUAACAGCAAUGCUUUUGUUACCAAAUUAUAAUGAUAUGGGGUUGAUCCUGCAAGAGGAUGUUAUUAUUCAGUACUCAGAGGCUAAGUUUCAGGCUGAAAAAGCAGCUCAGUACUCACCAGAAAGCCACUAACUAGUGUUAGCCUUAAUGACAGCUAGUUAAUACCUGCACUUGUGAAAGAACUGAAAAGAUUUGUAUUAUUCUCAUGGAAAACUGAAGCCAUGUUCAUAACUGGGAUAAGACACACACAUUCACUGAAGCCAACAUAGCUUGUUCCAGCACCUGAGCCUGGUCCUGUGAAAUCCUUCUCUUGGAACUUUUAGGCCUGAAAAGCCCCCCCUCCUUAGAAGUUGGAUGUGUGCUAAGCAGAAAACAAAGUGUUUUUAUGUUUGCAAGAGUACUACAUGAAUACAAAUGGUAUCACAAACUGGGAGGAUAAACAGAUCGAAAAAUAUUUUGAUGUAGGUAAUACCUUUAACUCCAUAAAUCUUGUUGUAUUCCAGCAAGCUCUAUGGCUUCUUUGUGGAAAAAAUAUUGCUACUGUAUAAAUUUCAACUAAAAUGAGGUGUCCAGGAAAUAACUAGACUUAGGGACACAGACAUCGAACUUCUCUUAGACCACAACUCUUUAUCUCCCUAAAUGUGGCAUGAGGUGACAUUAAUAAUGUGAUAGCUCACGGAACUUUCAUCUGCAAUAGGCUACUUAGCCAUAUCUCAUCUCAAGUCACUCAGACUUGCAUUUCUUUUACCCUGGAAAACAUCUAAAACUUCAGAGAUCAACAAACAGGGACAGACGCAAAAACACAAGUGCUGGAUUUAAGAAAUGACCAAACUGAGGAAUUGGGAUGAGAGCUCUACUUCAAGUAAGAAUUUCAAAGUCUACAAUUAUUCCCCUUCUAAGAUAUUUAUCAAACUUCCUGCACUUACCAGCAUCAGUCUUGGGCAGCCUUUGGUCAGAAGUCUGUUGAUGUCUAGAUCUUGGGGGCAGGAAAUGUAUUUAAUCAUUCAGAUGGGACCUUUUCUCCCAUGUCAGUAGCAAAUCAAAACAUUACAGAGUGUUGCAAAGCACUGGGCUUAUAGAAACAUUACGUUGUCACUGAGAUACUCUCCCUUAGUUCUCCUGUAACUAGGCAGAUGAAUUAUAAAGCAACAGAAUUUGAAUAACUGUCUCACCAUAUUGCAGGGAAAGGUAAUAUUAUCUGCUCGCUUCUGCUGAGUAUUGCCUCAGGCUUUUGUAUCAAAACAUCACACUAGAACUCAGUGUUGUCUAGUAACUAACACUGAAUUUAAAGUGUUGCCACAGUCAAUCACGCUCAGUUUCCAGACCCAGGUCACCAAAGCAUGUAAAAAAGGAUCCACAAGUGAUGACUCAAAGCCAAAGAAUUCUUCUUUUUUUUUUUUAAUUCCUGUUUGUUUAGGAAUGUGUUUAUAAACCAGAGAGGCUGUUGCAGGUGCAGUGGACGCUGUUCCAGCUGGCACUCUGAAAGAUCAAUUACCUAUAUCAAAGCUGUUCUGCUGCCUUUGCUGUCUAGUUGCUCAUUUCUGAAGCUGCACGGGAACCCUACACACAGAGUGAAUUUAAAAGACCAGGGCUCUGUGUUCAAUACCCUCUUCAAGUGUGUAGUUUAACCAUUAAUGCUACAAGCCCUAAUUCUUCUUAAUCUGAUCAAAUGGUGGGAAAACAUGAAAAGCUUUUGAGUUUGAAAUGACCUGGCAACGGUGAUACUAUUCUCAAUUGAGAAUGCAAAUGAAGCCAUGUAAUACGGUGCUAUAAUUGAGAAAGGUUGCGUUUUUUUAAGCUGUUGAUCAGGAAUGAAUGGAUUGGUAGGCAAGCCAUCAAAGACUGUUAUUGAAUAUAGUGUAAUAAAUAUUAUUCUGCAAUAUU